AAUUGAAUUGAAUAUGAUUAUAGGUGAACAUUAUUACAAAACUGUACUGGGGUGAUGCUAGAGAGAGGCUUUGUGAGGCUGUUGAAGAUCUGAAGUUGGACUCUUUGGUCAUGGGAAGCAGAGGACUUGGCACCAUCCAAAGGAUACUAUUGGGAAGUGUGACAAACUAUGUGUUGACAAAUGCAGCUUGCCCUGUGACCAUAGUCAAAGACUCAGAUUUUCGCAAGAACUGAUCUACAAAAUUGAAGAAUUUAUUUUCAUAUCUCUACAUACAGUAGUUUCCUUUUUCUCGCUAUAUAUGAGUUCUGUAUUUAUGGGGUUUUCCUAUGGAUGAUGAUAAUUUUAUUUUUAAGACUAAAUGGAAAUUAAUGAUCAAAUACUCUGUAUUUGAAUAACACUUGUGAUUUUGGUUUGGCUAAA